rnacentral:ncRNA from 2 species
AUGACAGCAAGGGGAGAGACCCGGGCGAAGAAAUGCGCAUCCGGGCGCCGAAGGAGCAAACUGCGGAGUGAAUCUCUCAGGCAAAAGAACUCUUGCUCGACG